CCUACGGGUGGCAGUAGUCGAGAAUCAUUCACAAUGGGGGAAACCCUGAUGCUGCGACGCCGCGUGGGGGAAUGAAGGUCUUCGGAUUGUAAACCCCUGUCAUGUGGGAGCAAAUUAAAAAGAUAGUACCACAAGAGGAAGAGACGGCUAACGCUGUGCCAGCAGCCGCGGUAAUACAGCGGUCUCAAGCGUUGUUCGGAAUCACUGGGCGUAAAGCGUGCGGAGGCGGUUUCGUAAGUCGUGUGUGAAAGGCGCGGGCUCAACCCGCGGACGGCACAUGAUACUGCGAGACUAGAGUAAGGGAGAGGGAACCGGAAUUCUCGGUGUAGCAGUGAAAUGCGUAGAUAUCGGGAGGAACACUCGUGGCGAAGGCGGCUUCCUGGACAUUAACUGACGCUGAGGCACGAAAGCCAGGGGAGCGAAAGGGAUUAGAUACCCGGGUAGUC
rnacentral:rRNA from 1 species